rnacentral:lncRNA from 1 species
GAGAAGAGUUUUGAGACUAUUUUUUUAAGUUGUAUGGUUUUUGAAUAAUCAAUAUAGGACCAUUACAUUGACCAAAAUACAAUGAUAUACAAGUAAAGACUAAAAAUGACAACAACCAAAAUACAAGGACUAAAGUUUGAUAAAAAGAAGUGUGCUGUCACUUCAACCUAGAUUUAAAAAACACAUAAACAUACAUAAAAUUUAUAUUGAAAUGUUAAUAAACUCGAAUUUAUAUGACACGUACAUAAAAUAAGGAGUAAAUUACACGAAUGGUCCCUAUGGUUUGGAGUAAUUUGCGUGUUUGGUCCCUAACUUAUUUUUUUAACUCGGAAGGUCCCUGGUGUUUGUUUUUGUUACGCGCUUGAUCCCUACUGUUUGUUUUUGUUGCACGCUUGGUCCCUGUUUUACCUAAAAAAAUUAUUAUUUAAAUAGGGAAAACGGUGGGGUCAGUAGCGGAUCCUCUAUAGGGCCAGGGGGGCCAUGGCCCCCUAGCUUUUUUGAUUUAUUAAUACAUGUAUGUAUAAGUAUGUAUCUCUUAUUCUCGUUACAAAAAAAUAAGAGCCGAUUUUAUGGCCCCCCAAAUUUUAUGCUUAAUUGUUUAUAGAUCUAACUGAUUUAAAGAAUCCGGACAAAUCUUAAUAAGUUAUAGACUAAUAAAUUUGGAAGCUUAAAAAAAAGUAACAUCAAAUCCAAAAAUCACUGAAAAAUCAAAACCAAUCGUAUCUUACCAAAAUGCCAAUUAAUUUGAAAAGUAAAACUCUACAAUAACCAAAUAACUAUUAUAAUUUACAACUUAUUUCAUCAAAAAGUUGAAAAAAAUGAAAAAACCCUAAAAACCACAGCCUCCACCGGAGAAUGAAAUCUCGAGUCUCACUAGAAAAUAUGACAGUCGGAGUAGUGCUAACCUCCGUCGUCUGCCGAACAAGACCUUCGUUCGCUUUAUUUCUGCUCUCCUUCCUUGCUGCUCACCUUCGUACGCUCUCUCUAUCUGUUCUCCUCCGUUUGCCCGCCGAACCUAUCAUCUCCUCGAAGAAGCUACCUCUGAUGCGCUGCUCACUUUCCUCUCCACUAGUACGUUGUCUCUCCUUUUUUCUCUUUAUCUCACUGGUAAUUUUUAGAUGAAUAAGGUUUUGAAGAUAUGAAUUCUGAAAAAGUGAUAAAUGUCUGAAAAGUUCAAAAGUGGCUCACAGCUUUUUUUUCCAAUUUAAA